GAGUGGCAGCAAUUUUCUUUUAAAGAAAGCUUUGUUUUGAUGGUAGUUCAAAAGCAACAAAUUGAUUAAAACAAGACUAAAAGAAUCUGCUAUCUGAAGAGAACUCCAACAGGGCUUCCCAUGCCUUAAUUACUCAUUGAUUAAAAUGUCUGCCCCUAGUGAACAUAAGGAUACGGAUAAGGAUAAAGACAAGCACAAAGUGAAGAGUGGUGACAAGGAGAAGAGCAAAGAGCAUAAGAAAAAGAAGGAUAAACAUCAUGAAAAGAAGGAUGGCCACGGCUCUUCAUCAUCUUCAUCAUCCUCUUCUUCCUCUUCUAGCAGUAAUGAGGAUUAGCACAAGAUGGACAUUGCAAUCCUAAGAGGGCAGCAUGGGGAAGGAGACCUGAGAUUGUGUAUAUAGUCAUAAAUUAACUUGCUAAUUAUAUGAAAUGUCAUUGUCACAUCCCAUAACCACCACUUAUGACCUUAUCCUUGGACUUGAUCCUUGGACUCCUCAGAGUUGAACAUGUGUGAACAUGCUAUUGAACAUGUGUGAGUUAGUCUGACUGUGAAAAUAAAAAUUGCAUUAAUAAAAUGCUCUCUACA
rnacentral:lncRNA from 1 species